AGUAUUUGGUGACAUGUCUCGCACAAGACUGUUACCACGGUUCAGAAACUUGCCGGUUUACUGAACCUUCGAAAAACCACCUUGCCGGGUGGUUUUUUCGU
rnacentral:antisense_RNA from 3 species